CCACCAAAAUCCAAGGGUUCCUCCGCAAGGUCCGUCCAUGGAGGAUGAGUCAGGGCCUAAGAUCAUUUCAAAAGCCAUAGUUGAUGGAUAACAGGUGAAUAUUCAUGUACUACCCCUUAUUGGUCCUGAGGGUCGUAGGAGGCUAGGUUAAUCGAAAGAUGGUUAUCAGUUCAAGAGCAUAAGGUGUCCCUGCUUUUUUAUUAGGUUAAGGAGUAGAGAAAAUGCCCUGAUCCAAUGUUCAAAUACCAGGCACUAUGACGCAAAAGUAACCCAUUUCAUACUCCCAUGAAAAGCUUGAACGAUUUUGGACAAGAGUGUACCUAUACCCAAAACUGACACAAGUGGAUUGGUAAAGAAUACUUAGGGGAAAGAGACAACUCUCUCUAAGGAACUAGACAAAAUAGCCCCGUAACUUUGGGAGAAAGGGUGCAUCCUUACAAAGAGAGUCGCAGUGACCAGGCCCGGACGACUGUUUACCUAAAACACAGAUCUCCACAAAGUCGUAAGACCAUGUAUGGGGGAUGACACCUUCCUAAUGCCAGAAGGUAAACGAAGUUGAUGACCUGAUGUCGAUUGUUAGAAAAACAGUCGUAACUAUAACGGUCCUAAGGUAGCGAAAUUUCUUAUCGGGUAAGUUUUGACCCACAUAAAAGGCGUAAAGAUUUAGGCACUGUCUUGAAGAGAGGCUCGGUAAAAUACACAUGUCUGUGAAGAUGUAGACUACCUGCACCUGGACAGAAAGAUCCUAUAAAGCUUUACUAUUUCAUGGGAUUGGAUUUGGGCCUUUCCUGCGCAGCUUGGGUGGAAGGCAAAAAAGGCCUUCUUUUGAGGUGGGUGGGGAGAUGAGGCAUCAAUAAGAUACCACUUUGGAAGAAUUAGAAUUCUAACCUUGUGUCAAGACCAACAGGUCAAGGGACAGUCUCAGCAGACAAUUUCUAUAGACGGUAGGCCUCCCAAAAGGUAACGAAGGCAUGCAAAGAUUUCUUCGAACCGGAUGAAGAUUAGACCUCGAGUGUAAAGGCAGAAGGGAGCUUGACUCUAAGACCCACCUGCCAAGCAGGGACAAAAGUUGGUCUUAGUGAACCAAUGGUGCCGAGUGAAAGGGUCGUCACUCAACGGAUAAAAGUUACUCUAUGGAUAACAUGUUGAUCUUCCCAAAGAGUUCACAUCGUCGAGAAGGUUUGCCACCUUGAUGUCGGCUCUUCACCACCUGGGGUUGUAGUAUGUUCUAAGGGUUGUUGCCCAUUAAAGCGGAACGUGAGCUGAUUUUAGAACGUCGUUAGACAGAUUGGGUAUGUGAAUCUUUUU
rnacentral:ncRNA from 1 species